rnacentral:rRNA from 1 species
GAUGAACGCUGGCGGCGUGCCUAACACAUGCAAGUCGAGCGUGAACCCUUAGAAUGAAACUUCGGUCGAAUGAAGAGGGGGAAAGCGGCGGACGGGUGAGUAACGCGUAGGCAACCUGCCCCGUACAGAGGGAUAGCCUCGGGAAACCGGGAUUAAAACCUCAUAAUACCAUGGUAUCACAUGAUGCAAUGGUCAAAGAUUUAUCGGUAUGGGAUGGGCCUGCGUCUGAUUAGCUGGUUGGUGGGGUAACGGCCUACCAAGGCAACGAUCAGUAGCCGACCUGAGAGGGUAAUCGGCCACAUUGGAACUGAGACACGGUCCAAACUCCUACGGGAGGCAGCAGUGGGGAAUAUUGCACAAUGGGCGAAAGCCUGAUGCAGCAACGCCGCGUGAGCGAAGAAGGCCUUUGGGUCGUAAAGCUCUGUCGGGAAGGAAGAUAAUGACGGUACUUCCCGAGGAAGCCCGGCUAACUACGUG